rnacentral:rRNA from 3 species
GAAUCGCGAUAAGUAAUGUGAAUUGCAGAUUUCCAGUGAAUCAUCGAACUUUGAACGCACCUUGCUCCUCGGUACUCCGAGGAGCAUCUGUCUGAGUGUCCCAUGAAUCCUCAAGCCGGCUUGGAUGUGGGGGCUGCCGGCGUCGAAGACGUCGACUCCCCUGAAAUGCAUUAGCGAAGACGGCGGGUCUGGACAAGGUGGCCGUCUCGACGUGAUAACGCGUUGUUGGUCAGCUGGGCUCGCGCGCUCGCGGUCGUCUCGCUUCUAAGACCUCAGAUCAGGUAGGACUACCCGCUGAACUUAA